GUACGGAGGCGGCAGAGUCGGUGUUUCUCUCCAGGUAACUUCUUCUCUCAUCACCUGGGUCGGUUGUUUUAUUACAGCCUCAAACGUCGGUGCUGUUCGUCCAUCAGUGGAGGACAACAGCAUGAACAACAGAGCCAGCUCUGCUGGACAGACAGACCUGCCCAGAUGGACACAUGAGAGGGAAUCUGAUGCAGGCCAGAGGUGAGAUGGCGGGGAACACACAGGUGUAACAGAAGAGGGGAACUGGAAGGACAGGCAGAACAUACCAGCUGUCUUCAUCUCGAACACAAGAAAUCUGUUGAGGUCUCAGUCUUUAUGACUUAGAGUCAGUUUCCGAUCAGCUUUAUCCAGGCUUUCUCAGCCUCCUCCGCCGGCCCGGCUGCAGAGAUCUGAAG